CAGUUCAGAGCUCCAGUUUAGAGAAAAAAAUCAAAGACACAAAUCGCCAUGAUUCAAAACCAUUAUUUCUCCUCAUAUCUAUCAACCUUUUUUUUCCAAAACCGAUACUUUCAAAACCUCUUUUUUUCGGUUUUCAAUCUUCAUCAGACCUUUAGGUGGAUUUAUGUUCACGUAUAACAUCCCCAUCUCUUUGAUUCAAUUUUGUUGGUGUUAAAUUGGAUUCCUCUUAACCUAAUCAACACGAAGAAAUCUAAGUUUCUUAGAAAGAUUUCUCUAUUUCGCGAGGUUGGUCUGAUAUAAUGUUUUUCUGGUAUUGAAAAGGGUUUUGACUGAACGGCUUCAACAAUUUCAUGAGAAACAAAUGUUAAGUCAUUCAAUUUUGGUAUGGGUUUUCAAUUUUUCUCUAUGGGUUUUCUUAAAUGGAAAGUUGUGCUUGAUUGGGGUUUUCCUGGCAUUUAUCUGUGUUGUUGUUGCUAUGGAGGUGCUUCUUGUUAGGUUAGUUACGGGUAUAUGGUUAUGGCUAGUGGGGGCAGAUGUUCUGUGGUCUGUGAAGUUUGAGUUUGGAAGGAAGGACAGGAGGGGGGAACUAUGCGCACCUGGUUAAUCUAGUUGCAAGGAAGGUAUUUUGCAAUACCCAUUAUCACAUUUGAUCUUGUGAAGUUUGAGUUUGGAAUUUGGGAGGUUUAAUUAUAGUCGUGGCUGAUGAAGCUGUGAUUCGCCAUACUUGGGUUGAGCUAGAGCUCAAACAGAUACAUGGUGUCGGGAUAUAUGGCUGGGGUAGUGUAUGUGAGACGAUUGAUGGGGAAUUGUUAGAAUAUAGUCACACAAUCAGCUGGCUUGCGGGAGUCUCAGUGACGGCCUUGUGAAAACAUCAUCUGCUCUUGUUGGAACAUUAUUGAAGACUUAUCAGCGCAGUGGUGGCGCAGGAUCAGCAUUGGCAAGUGCUGUUUGUGCAGCUCCUGCUGCUGCCGUAGCAUGAACCUGUUUCAGCAUACGCAGAGGUAAUGGUGUGCGACCUUGGACUAAGUUCAUACUGUAGUCGGCAUGUAAUUCUGCACUAAUGAAAGUCACAGAAAUGUGAAGUACCGAGUAUUUGGUUUUUGUACUUACCCUUAAGGUUACCACAGGUUGGAAAAAAGCCAUUGGACUGGUAGGCAUGCCUCUGGAAACUAGUAGGCGUGACUGAUAUGGUGCUCACAGGACCGGGAAAGCUUAAACUGCAAAUGGUCAAGGAAGUGGUGAAAAUUCCAAGAUGAAGUAUGAAAGUCAAAGUUUGAUCAUAUAAAUGGUAAUGACUGCAGUUCAUAUGCAUUCAAAAGGUUUCGCACCAGAACAUCAAACCAGAUAAUUUACUUAUGCAUAUUGGACAGAAAACCAAUCAAGUUGGAAAAAAGCCAUUUGCACUGGUAGGCAUGCCUCUGGAAACUAGUACGCGCGACUGAUAUGGUGCUCAAAGGACCGAGAAAGCUUAAACUGAAAAUGGUCAAGGAAGUAAUACACUAUAUGUAUACAUCUUCUGCACCUUUUUAACGGCAAGUAUUUAAGGAAUUUUUUGCAGUAUAUGAUAAAUGGAUAAUACAUUAAUGUGUACACAUAUUGCUCAGGUGGUGAAAAUUCCAAGAUGGAUCAUGAAAAUUAAAGUUUGAUCAUAUAAAUGCUUAGGGAUGAGAUAAUGGACCUGAUUUGAGCUAGUUUCUCAGAAAAUGAAGGCAUAGAUGGUGCAGGUUUUUGUUUGCAGCUUAGUGUGUUGAAGUUUUUAUGGUUAGACUUGUAAUACAGAAAUGUAUGUUAAGGUUUUCCAACUUAGUAUUGAAGUUUUCAAGAUUUGGAACUUGCAGUAUUUUAGAUAACUGAUUUGUAAAGUGAAUACACUUUUCAAUACAAAUUGAGUUUUAAAGUUGUUAUCAAUUUAAUUUUGUAAA